CAAGGGGUUCACGAUCAUUUAACAAAAAGGGCUAUCAAAGGUGAUGAAAAUGCCAAAACACAGUGGGAAAAGUCGAUGCUCGGUUAUGUAGUAUCUUGUGGCGAUCUAUUGAUUUCAAGUUGAUGCCCUCGUUCCGUCCAUUCCAGACAUGUUAUUUAGUUUGGGAAAAUGCUCGUAAUUUAUACACUAAUGACAUAUAUCGUUUCU
rnacentral:lncRNA from 1 species